rnacentral:pre_miRNA from 1 species
UUCCCGAAAAUACUAAUGGAGCAGUCGUAUCGACUCUGAUAUGUUGUCACAUUGUUUCUCAUAUCGCAGAUUCGAUUCGACAAGCUGCACUUGUAGAUACCGGGGAUAAUGCCACUCA